UCCCCAAUGAGGAAGAAAACCCAAUUGAUAGGAAGUGCCGUAUGACACUCUUAACAGCAGCGUAAGUGCGUAACUCAAACUAUCCCGACUCGUGCAUUGCGGCGUCGUUUUGGCGAUGCGCUACCAGUCGGGAUUAGUUUGUGGCACCGCUGUGUGUGUGAUUUGAAAAGGGACUCUGAGGGUU